rnacentral:rRNA from 1 species
ACUACGGGAGGCUGCAGUGGGGGAUAUUGCACAAUGGGGGGAACCCUGAUGCAGCGACGCCGCGUGGGUGAAGAAGCGCCUCGGCGCGUAAAGCCCUGUCAGCAGGGAAGAAAAUGACGGUACCUGAAGAAGAAGCCCCGGCUAACUACGUGCCAGCAGCCGCGGUAAUACGUAGGGGGCAAGCGUUAUCCGGAUUUACUGGGUGUAAAGGGGGCGCAGACGGCGAUGCAAGCCAGGAGUUAAAGCCCGGGGCGCAACCCCGGGACUGCUCUUGGAACUGCGUGGCUGGAGUGCAGGAGGGGCAGGCGGAAUUCCUGGUGUAGCGGUGAAAUGCGUAGAUAUCAGGAGGAACACCGGUGGCGAAGGCGGCCUGCUGGACUGCAACUGACGUUGAGGCCCGAAAGCGUGGGGAGCAAACAGGAUUAGAUACCCUAGUAGUC